UAACUGUCUCUUACAGGCGAUCGGUGAAAUUGAUCUCCCUGUGCGAAAGCAGGGAUAACCACAUAAGACGAGAAGACCCUGUGGAACUUCAAAAACAGCAACCACCCUGACAUACAUACUCCCCCACCUCGGGCUCACUUAUCCUCUUAAGGCACUGGUUUGCAUUUUUUCGGUUGGGGCGACCUUGGAGCAAAAAAGAACCUCCAAAAAUUGGACCACAAAUCCAGACUGAGAGCAACUCCUCAAAGUGCGAACAGCACCCAGACCCAAUACAAUUGAUCAAUGGACCAAGCUACCCCAGGGAUAACAGCGCAAUCUCCCUCAAGAGUCCAUAUCGACAGGGAGGUUUACGACCUCGAUGUUGGAUCAGGACAUCCUAGUGGUGCAGCAGCUACUAAGGGUUCGUUUGUUCAACGAUUAACAGUCCUACGUGAUCUGAGUUCAGACCGGAGCAAUCCAGGUCGGUUUCUAUCUAUGAUGAACUCUUCCCCGUACGAAAGGAUAGGAAAAGUGAGGCCAAUACCACAAGCAAGCCUUCGCCUUAAGUUAUGAAGUCAACUCAAUUACGAAAGGCUAUCACACUCCCCCACGUCCUAGAAAAGG
rnacentral:rRNA from 1 species